rnacentral:lncRNA from 1 species
AACCGUCAUAAAUCAUUUUACCGCAUUCACCUUUAAUUUCCUGCCAAGUCAAGUUCAUGGCUACAAAAACAAAUCAUAUAUAUCAUCUUAUAAUUUUAUCCAAAAUAAAGCAUGACUAAAUAAUGUCUUUUAAAGCUUUGACAAAAUACUUUUUUUUUAGAAAUUAUGAAGAAUUUAUCAAGAGAUCAUCAUCACAUGCAACACAUAAUAUUAUAGACAUUAUUGAGAGGAUGGUCACCAAGACCGAGUUCCAUCAGAACACUCCCUUUGUGCUUACAUAUUUG